rnacentral:rRNA from 1 species
UACGUAGGUGGCAAGCGUUGUCCGGAUUUACUGGGCGUAAAGAGCGCGCAGGCGGUCGGAUCAGUCGAAUGUGAAAGCCCCCGGCUCAACUGGGGAGGGUCAUUCGAUACUGUCCGACUCGAAGGCAGGAGAGGGAAGCGGAAUUCCCGGUGUAGUGGUGAAAUGCGUAGAGAUGUGGAGGAACACCAGUGGCGAAGGCGGCAUCCUGGACCGACAUUGACGCUGAGGAGCGAAAGCUAGGGGAGCAAACGGG